UCUAUCAAUGGUGAACGACUAAAGGAACUGUGGUAUAUUCACUCCAUGAGGUCAUAUCUGGUCUGGAGAACACUCGGAACUACUUCUACCUGAGACAGCAAACGUAAUGGUGAGUGAAAGAAGUCAGGCCCAGGGAGCGCGUUCCUCUUUUCUUCAAGGAGUGCUGGAGGAGGAUUAAAAAGAAAUUGAACUGAAAGCUCACAAGGGUGAUGCACAUCCAAGAGCAGUCGUGGUAGCCAGGGUUCCGCUGAGAACCGCUGCCCUCCCCGGCCAGCCCAGCCCAGCCAUGGCCAGCCUUGAGCAGCACCAACUGCUGAGUUAGAGGAGUCUUAAGACCACCCAGAGACUGCAAAUGGAGAGCCAGCUCUAGAGCUCCCCAUCGGAUCAGCUGAAGCCAUGAGUGUGAAUGCUCCGCAACUCAGCUUCUCCUGCUGCCUCCAUCUCUGAUGGCAUUAUUCCAGGAGGAUGCUUCCAUAAGCCUCUGCAUGCAAAUCUCCAUCUCAGGGGGAAUCCUGAGCUCAAGGAACCGGCAUUGUAGUGAGAACUUUAAUUCAGAGUGGAUAUUAAUAAACAGUAAUAUUUCUCUUA